UGUUAACACAUUAGCUUUCCAGCAGUUUGCGGCGUCACUCUGCUCAUUAGCCUAAUGAAGAGCGGCGACCAAGUCCUCCAGGAGCUCAUUAGUUGUCGUUUUGUUGGGUCCUCGAAAGUUUUUCACCAAAAUAUGCUCGUAAAUCUCGAUUUGGCAGCGACCGAAAAGGGAAAUUUAUCGCGAGGAAGGACAAGUGCCAAAAAGUUUUCGACCAAAUCCUAUCAAUCAUUGAUGUGUGUGGGUUUCCAAGGGGUGCUAUUUCUUCCGUAUAACUAUCCACCUUAGUAAAUCGAAAAUUCAGCAUGAGGAUUUGUUUCGGUUUCUCCAAACCUCUCUUUCUUCCUAUCUUAGUUUUUACACGCAUAAGAACUAUGAACUCUCAGUUACCUCGAAAUGGUGCAACAACCGUGGGAACAUAAACAACGGCUUUCCUCACGUUCCGAUCGUAUGUUCGUAUAUGUACAUAUAGAUAUUUAAACGUAUAAGUGAUAUCCAAAGACAUUACAAAAGUCAGACAAGUGCAAUGGGAUCUUGUGAUCGGCGAUCGGGUGCUGAAUUCAACAGGGUAAUAUUCUGAAUUUGAUUAUGGGUAUUCCUUAAAUUAUGUUCCUGUAAAUUAUAUGUUAUUAUGUUACGAUGACUUAUGAUGCUCAGUGAUAUAAUUUAUGAUUAAGGAUCUCUAGAUCAGCUGCUUAAAUAGCAAAGAGUUGGUUUACCAGAGCUACCAUUUUAACAAAACUAAAAUGCAUUUUGGCCUCGCGGUGAUAGUAAUUAAGCAUUGAUAUAUCGGCGACGAUCGUAUAUAGUUUUCCUGGGAGUAAUUUACUCACGAAAACGUAUCGCUUUAGUCGUAUAGUACUUGAUUAGUGCUGAUUAGAAAAAAAUGCAUAAAUAAAGAAAAAAGUGAAUUAUACCGGAGAUUGCAACACGAGGCGUAUGAGGGGGAACUUUCAACCGCUCGUGUCAGCAUUCUGAGGUCGAAGCUGUCGGUCGAUGAACCCAAGGCGGAAAACUAAAAUAAAAAAAAUUAACAAUAAUAACAACAAAUUUGAUUUGCUUUGCAAAAUAGCGACUUCAAGUAGAGCUCUUUCACUGCGAAUGCCCACAACUACAACAAAUUGCACGCGCGACAUGCGCUCAUAAUGAGGUUGCAAAACAAUUUAUAUAUUUUUUGUUAAAUAAAUCAAUUUGCGUUUUUCGCCAACAUAUUGUUAUCAGAGCAAGCAACUUAAAAACUGAUUGAAACCAAAAAACUUUUGCGCAAAAUUGAAACUGCUGAUUUGGCAAUAAACUCGACUCGAGGAGGAAAAAACUGAAUCAAUUGCAGGGAUCAGCAUUCCGUCAAUUCGCCGCUUAAUUUAUUUAUUGUUCUCGUCGACGGCUGUAAAUGCAAUUUGAUGAUUUAAUUAAUAUUGAAUUACACUGCCAUUAAGACCGCCUCGAUAAUUAUACAAUCUGCAGCUGAAUAUCUCGAUUGUCCACCUCUCGCCCCUCUCUCUCUCUCUCACUCUUCCUCUUUGUGUUAUCGACGCUUGAGUGUUUCGGGUGCGACUGUACCUGGCCGCACAUUUUGGUUUAAUUUAUGCCAGGACAAAUAUUUAGCCAACAAACACACACAACUUCUGGCCAGGCUUAUUAAUUAAGAGGCCCGUAGACUCAGACGCACACAGUUUUCCCCAUGCCCCCCCGCAUGGAUUUCCCCCUCCCCGCCGCCCGGAAUCCGGGAAAUCAUAAAAGCGUAAAAUCGAAAUGCCGCCAUUCCGUGGUGGCUGCCGAGCUGACUACUUCCUGUUCCUGUUUCGUUCCUGUCUGCCUUCCUCUGUGCCCGGCUCCCCAUUAUUAACACGCAUAUCAAUUCAUUUUGAUUGUAAUUUAUGCCGUAGCCAAUCGCUGCAUAUCGCUCACAUCACCCCCGCCCCCCUUCGACUGGGGUAAUAAAAUUAUUGUUUAUAGAUAGAUGUUGUGGCGGCAGUUAAAAGCUACACAAGAACUGAGGGCCAAAGUAAGUCACUUGCUGAUUUCGAUUUGGCUAUUUUGGUCCUCCUUCCUGUUUAGUGGAGCGUGAUCUUGAAAUGGAAAUCGCUUUUCGGGGAGGAUGUAUGUAUGUACAUAUGUGGGUGGAGGUAAUCGAGGCGUAUGUACAUUGUUUUCCAAAAGUAUUCUUUCAAAACUUGUCUAUGGAAAUUAUAUGGUUUACUUGAGGAUAUUAAUUGCCAUAUCUAUGGAUCCAUAAACAUAUUUAUAUGAUUUAAAAGUGGACUUGGGGAAUAUUGAGUGCAGUCAUGGCCAAACAGCAUGCUAAAAGAAUGAAUGAAUCUGACUCAAAUAUUGGGAGAUAACCAUUUUUAAUAUACCUAAGGAAUUAUUGUAUCUACGUAAACAGAAUUAUAGAUAAAUAGGAUAACAUAUCAAAUUUAUUUGUUUUUCACUCUUUGUGCACUCUUUGUUUGGACCAAAAGGGAACUUGACCAUGACCAUGCAGCACGCCGAGCAAUCAACCUAAUUGAGCUGCCCCAAUGGCCAACUUCUGCCACCAACUUCUCCACACUCCCAAUCCCCUUUUGACCCCCCCUUUGACCCGCUUUCCACUUUUCCACACCGUUCGAUAUCGGAAUAAACCCGUACCAGUACCCAUACCCAUAUCCAAUCCCAAUCCAAAUUCCGAUUUCGAUUCCAAGCCAAACCCCAACCGUUCUAAAUCAAAAGACAAACGUCGACAAAUGACCCGGCGCAGUGAAUAAAUGAAUAGCAGCAAGUCGGCUGUAUGUAUUCGGUAAUGAAUGUAUUCGGUAACAAUUCAUUAAGCAAAUAGAAAUGUGCGCUAAACGCAUUAAGAGAUUAGCACACAUCCAGCAGGAGAACAACAAUGUCUCCGUGCAGAAAGUACAUACAUGGGAAUACCCAUCGAUGAGCCGACCGGGAACUGGCCGGCGUAAUGACCCUCAUUUACUGGGUGGGUGCUAGUCGGUCGGCGGCCCUUUCGUUCUGGCCAAAUUUAAUUGCUGGCCCAAAGGAGACUUUUCACAUGCGGUUUCACAAGCAGCACUCAGAUUGGACUUCGUGUGUGAAAAGGUGAAUUCACGGUUGCUUCUGGCUUGUUAAGUGCUCAUUGUUUCGCCAACAAUGUUGACACAUGCCCCUUUGAAAGCACCCACAUGUGGUGGGAAAUUAUGUGAUGUGACGUGAUUUGCUGACUGCCAAUGUCUCGAUGGCGAAUGCAAAGCGGAAGUUGCCAGUUGAAAGUCACUUAAGUGCAAUUUCGGCUUUUGAAAUUGCAGAUUUUGGCUGUUGGGGUUGGCUGGUGGUUAACACUGAAUCUUGUUUCUGAAAAGGAUAUUGUCCCAGGAUCCAAGAGAUAAAUAGUUAAAAAGGGAUAACAUAGUAAUGUGUUUGUUUUUCUUUCAUUUUUAACUGUUAUACCUACAGUAUACUUAAAAACUUUCUAUUAUGAAUAUUACAUGUAUCACUUUAAUUCUCAGUCCUUUGGAAAUUUGAUAUUUCCCUUUUGCGUACAACCCCGUAAAAUUCUCAAUCAGUUUUCCGGUCAACCUGGUGAGGAUGUGACCCACAUCGAAUCCCUAACUGCAUGCGACCAAACAUCACGUUCCGUCUUCCUUACUGGUUCCCUUUGUGGGACUCCAAAUGUCGGUAUCCUUUCCACCAAGUCCCUUCUUGUUGCACCGCCUUCCGUAUCCUUUGCAUUGUCCGCUAGCCAUGUGAUAAACGUUUAUGAUUAUUUUUAUGUUUCAUCCGUUGGGGUCGAGACUCGAAACUUUGGCUUGCCAAUUU